CUUAUAUAUUGGUAUAAUACACAUAUAUAAACAUAUUGUGAGCACGAAUUUGUGAAUGUAUAUAUAAUUAUGCAAGAGAAAAAUAAAUAAAUAAUCCUGUAAUUUCAUUUUGUUUUUUAAUAUAUAGAUAAACAUGACAGAACACCAAUGGAGACUAUUUGAAUAUAAUAUGAGUAAAUGGAUGAUAGAAAAUAAAUAUAUUUUAGAUAGUGAAGAAAAAAAAAAAUUUUAUAAAUGUGCAAAUUAUAGUAUAGGUUUAGGUGCACUAAAUGGGUCAUUCGUAUAUUUUUUAUGCAAGAAAAAUCAAAAAUAUAUUAAACCUGUGUCGAGGUUUUUUUUAACCUUUUCAUUGGGUAUAUACACAUCUAUGUUUGUUAAUAAAAUAUUUAGACGUAAAGCAUAUACAGAAAUAUUAACAGAGAAAAGUACAAUGACCGACAAAGCAAGAGAAGUUAUGAAUGAUAUACUGAACAUUAAUUCUAAAAUAAAGCCUCCUAAAGAAGUGGAAAAAAAAAACGAAGAAAAUGUUAAUACAGAAUUAAACAAAAAUGAAUUUAAUUUAUUAAACAAUGAAAAUAAGCAAGGGACUAAUGAUUCUAAAAUAGAUAAUACUGUAAGUUUUUUCAAUUAUACACCAUAUUAAUGUACAUACAUUAUGCAAAUAUAUAUGCAUAUAUAUAUAUAUAUAUUUUUUUUUUUUUUUCUUUUCAGAAUUAUGUUCCCGAAAUUCAUGAUUUGUAAGUGCACAUAAUAUUAAAAUAAUAAAUAAAUAAAUAAAUAAAUAGACA
rnacentral:lncRNA from 1 species